rnacentral:rRNA from 1 species
AGAGUGAACGCUGGCGGCAGGCCUAACACAUGCAAGUCGAACGGCAGCACAGCAAGAGCUUGCUCUUGUGGGUGGCGAGUGGCGGACGGGUGAGGAAUACGUCGGAAUCUACCUAUUUGUGGGGGAUAACGUAGGGAAACUUACGCUAAUACCGCAUACGACCUACGGGUGAAAGCGGAGGACCUUCGGGCUUCGCGCGGAUAGAUGAGCCGACGUCGGAUUAGCUAGUUGGCGGGUAAAGGCCCACCAAGGCGACGAUCCGUAGCUGGUCUGAGAGGAUGAUCAGCCACACUGGAACUGAGACACGGUCCAGACUCCUACGGGAGGCAGCAGUGGGGAAUAUUGGACAAUGGGCGCAAGCCUGAUCCAGCCAUGCCGCGUGUGUGAAGAAGGCCUUCGGUUGUAAAGCACUUUUGCCGGUAAAGAAAGCAACUGGUUAAUACCCUGGUGUCAUGACGGUACCGGAAGAAUAAGCACCGGCUAACGUUCGACGCCAGCA